GAUGAAGAACGUAGCGAAAUGCGAUAAGUAAUGUGAAUUGCAGAAUUCAGUGAAUCAUCGAAUCUUUGAACGCACAUUGCGCCCGCCAGUAUUCUGGCGGGCAUGCCUGUUCGAGCGUCAUUACAACCCUCAGGCCCCCGGGCCUGGCGUUGGGGAUCGGCGGAAGCCCCCUGCGGGCACGACGCCGUCCCCCAAAUACAGUGGCGGUCCCGCCGCAGCUUCCAUUGCGUAGUAGCUAACACCUCGCAACUGGAGAGCGGCGCGGCCACGCCGUAAAACACCCAACUUCUGAAUGUUGACCUCGAAUCAGGUAGGAAUACCCGCUGAACUUAAGCAUAUCAAUAAGCGGAGGA
rnacentral:misc_RNA from 1 species